GAGGGUAUAGCUCAAAGUGGUAGAGCACAUGCUUAGCAUGCACGAGGUCCUGGAUUCAAUCUCCAGUACCUCCU
rnacentral:tRNA from 1 species